CGUGGAUGUCUGCAGGGACGGCGCUCUGCCCAGGGCCGGGCGGCGGGGCGGCUUCAGACUCCUGCAGCAGAUCGAGAAGUCAGUCAAUCAGAUUGUGGGAGAAAACUGGAAAACCUGGGGAGGAACGCAGGCCGGGUUCAAACCCAGAACCUUCUUACUACAAGGUGUCAGUGAUGAUGAGCAGCGAGGAAGAGAAGAAGCGGUAGGACUCCUGCCUCUCUAGCACCACCUUCAGGCUGCAAAGCUUUUUCAGGAUCG